rnacentral:rRNA from 1 species
AGGUAGUAAUAAAAUUUUCACAAACCUAUAUAUUUUGGCGGCAUUUUACCUAAUUAGAGGAACCUGUUUUUUAAUCGAUACCCCACGUUUAAUUUCACUUAUUUCCAUAGUUUAUAUACCGUCAUCUUCAAAUAAAUUUCAAAAAUACAAUUUAUAAAAUUACUCUAAAAAGAUAGAUCAAGGUGUAAUUUAUAUUUAAGCUAAAAUGGGUUACAUUAAACUUUAUUUAAGAAUUCAACAAUUAAAAAUACUGAUAAAAAAGGAUUUAAAAGUAAAAAUAAAAUAAAAUUUUACUUUGAAUAAGUAAAUAAAUGUGC